GAAGGUAUAGCUCAGCGGUAGAGUACAUACCUUGCAUGCACGAGGUCCUGGGUUCAAUCCCCAGUACCUCCA